rnacentral:lncRNA from 1 species
AAUCUCGCCUGACGGGGCAGGAAGAGGCACCGGGAGGGGGAGGAGGCACCGAGGCGGCGGCGCUGCCGGUCGGUAACCUCAGCGCUUCCUCCCGGCAGGGCGCCUUUCCCGCGGCGCCGAGGAUGCUGCCCUGACCCCGCAGCCCGGGCAGGUGUCCCCAGGUGCCAGGCAUGGCUGUGUCCCCCGGAGGGAUCCCCGCCGAGCUGCAAGAGGGCAUCACCACCUUCCUGGGGACAAAGAAGGUGCUCCUGGUGCUGAGCAUCCAGCUGCAGGUGAAAUCCAAGUAUGAUGACUUUAUCUUGGUCCUGACACCCUGGCGAGCCUAUGUGCUGCCUGUGAUGCUGCCAGUGAGGGUAAGUGUGGGGACCCUGGUACAGUCCUUGUGGGGCCUGGGGCACUGGAGGGAGUGACCC